GUAAUUUUUGCUUGUAUUUUGAAGAAACUCGAUUGAUUUCUAGCAAACUUGGUUUACCACUACAUCGUCGCUUAUUAUUAUUUGUUGCUGCUUGGGACAAUUAAGUUAAGUCAGCAACCGUCUACCAGACUGCAAGAUUCAUCUCUUCCAAAGGAUGUCGUACCUUUCCAGAUACACUGUGUUGUGUGUGGAUAAGAAAUGCAGAGUGGUACCACCAAUCACCUAAGCCACCAUUCCCCUUACAGACAAAAGGCUCAUGGGGACAGUUCCUGCAGUUUACAGCAAAGCUCUCAAUUGUAGCCCUACAAACUUCAGAUACUGCCGAUGGUGAAGCUUGGGUGCACUGGGCCGGUUAUCCAGCCGUGUGGAAUCAACAUCUCCAGCUGAACUGGGGCCGGGAAUUAUAUAAGAAUCCUUAGCAGCAUGAGUGCCAGCCAGUCAUUGCUGUUCUUUGCAGUGCUGAGGAGGACAGUCCUGCCAACAUAACAGUUUGUUCAAUAACAGGAGACAAACAGAAACACAGAGGUGCUAUACAUUCCGAUGGAAAAGACAACAAAAGCAUCUCCCAUCAUUUUGGCGUGGCUCAGAUCAAGAGGAGAAUUUUAAGAAAGGUGAUGGUUGGGCACACACAAGAAGACAUAGAUCACAGGUGUCCAGGCAUAUGAGUAGACUGGAGUUUCACACUCUGCCAAACUUACUUCAUCAGAGGAGCAGAAAGCUUCUCAAGAUCCCGCACUGCACACUUAGAUAUAGUCUUUGACUACAACAAGGGGAUGAAAGUACAGAGAGGUCCAAUUGAAAUCAAUUCUGUGCUGCGUCAUUUCUUCUUCUGGAAGUCGAUGGACAUGAUUUAUCAUGGCAUCAAGUGUGCAGUUUCGAUGGACAUGAUUUAUCAUGGCAUCAAGUGUGCAGUUUGUCGACUAUCAGCAGUCUUGUUCACCAGCUGUGCAACUUGAGCUGGUAGCUUUAUUGCUUGAAGCCACUGCAUAAGAGGGGGAAGGUGCAGGCUCAUUAAAAAGUCUCAAAAGUUGAAACUAGGAAAAGAAGUUUGUCAAACGUGUGAAUCUAUUUGCUUUGAAAACAAUCGUUACAAUGAUUUGGUUUCCUUUGAAACUUGAUACAUACUAUGUGUAUGUUGAAUGAAUUGAGAUGCUUAAAUAAAGAACCGCUAUUCAAAUAUCAGGAAACUGCAUUUUUCAUACUAAAGGGUAAAUGAUGUUGCCAUUUCCUGUAUGUAUUUAAAUAAGAUAUUUUUCCACAAUUAAUAUUUUUAGGGAAUUUUUCUCAACCUAAUGAAUGAGAUUAAAUUGUUCCAACGUUAUAUGAGCUUAAUAUGUGUUUUCUGUUUCUUUAAAAUUGGUGAAAAAUUGUCAGAAGAUAAUUAGACCAGUAUCCAUUACUGCAAUCAUACAAUCAAAUAUACAGGGACAAGCCCACUGGGAAUAUAAUAUAAUUAAAUCCUGUUUAGGGGCAUGAGGCAAACAGAGUUACUUUCAAACGUUAAAGCUGCACUCUCACAUUUUGGACGUUUUGACAACUUCUCUCAUUUUAUGUCUUGGAUUAGAACCAUCCAAUUUUUGCGAAAAAUUAAAUGGCAGAUUUUUCUAUUUAAUAUAUAUGCAAAAAGCUACAGAAACAUGCUCAGUCGAAAAAAGUUUAAACAUAAACCCAGUUUAGUGGCAAUGGGCAACGCCAAAGACAUAGAACACAAAUUCACAGACAAGAAACAUAAAACAGCACACAGCUCUACAAACAGCACAGUGCAUAAAUACUAUAUAUAUAUUGAACAAUAUAUAUAUAAAUAAUUGGUAUGUUUAUCAAGAAAACAUUGAUGUUUUAUGCACUUUUCUUAAACCGUUAGUAACAUUAAUUUUCGAACGGAAAUAUGAAAUCUGCGAUCUGAUCUUUUGUCAGCAAUCUUUUAUCAUUAUCAUAAGUUUGCAGAUAAUUACGCAACCAUUUGCUCAUUCCAAGACAACAAAAAAGUUGUGAAAACGGUAUAUCUGUGGGAGUGCAGCUCUAAAUGUUUAAUUGCUUGAUUUUACUACUGUAUUAGAAAUUACAGGGGGUGGGGCAUAUUUUUAGUGGUUUUAUUGCUUUUAAUGAUUCAUACAGUCUUACUUCAGUCCUCAGGGCACAACUUACAAAUAGACAAAACUGGAAAAUGGUCAUAUCAAAAGGUCAAAGAUAAUGCAAGCUGAACAAUCAUAUUGUUCAUGGCUUGUAUUUUUGGUAUAUUUUAUUGCAUAUGCUAUAGAAAAGUUGAAAGUUAAAAAUAAAUUCAUAGUUGAAAUGAUGGCUUUGAAUGGUAUUGUCAGAUGAGAAACAGCACUAUUAAAAAAUAGGUAUAAUGAUACUUUAUUUAUUUUAAUCAAUUUUAGAUAUUGUAUGAAAAUUAUAUUAUUUAGUACAUGAGACCUUUUAAACAGUUAUUGACAAUAUAACAAUGUGUAUAUGAAGCUUCAGAUCAACACUUAAAGCUGCACUCUUACAGAUUGUCAGUUUAGACACAAAAUUGUCUCAAAAUCUGCUGAUUUGGUUAUCAUUCCUUUAAUUCAGUCAUAUUAGAUAAUUCACAAUAGAACCAAUCAAAAAUGUUUGGUAAAACUGCCGAAAAUUUCAUUUACAUUAAAUUGUUCGUAAAGCUUUUAGCCAUAAAACAUCAAUUUUUUUUUAACAUAAAUAUGAUAAACUGCGAUCUGAUCUUUUUUCACAGUCUUAUAUCACUUAAAAUUGGGUCUAGACAUUUCUGCAAAAAACUAGUCCAUUUAUAGACAAACAAUAAAAGAGUACCGGAAGUCAAAACGAGCAAUCGGUGAGAUUGCAGCUUUAAAUACACCUUUUAAGACCGCUGUAAAAUUCCAAUGGUUUGCCUUAAUCUUUAAAGCUAGCAUACUGUUUUAAAAGUGUCAUGAUAACUUUGUACAAUGUUUUUAUAUAAUUCAUUAAAGAAGU